GGUAUGUAGCUUAGUAGCACAGUGCCUGCCUGGCAAGCAUGUGACCUGAGUUCAAUUCCCAGUACUA
rnacentral:tRNA from 1 species